rnacentral:misc_RNA from 1 species
GGGCGCCUCUGCACACAACGCUUAUCGGUCGAUCCUUCGUCUUUCGUGGUCUCUGUAUUUUUACCCCUUUUCUAAUUAUCCCAGCCAUUGUCAGAUGUCGUAAGUAUCACAGGUAGUAUCAUAGGUGAAAUUAUGCGUUAAGUAUUGUUAUUCGUGUAUUUUUGACGCGUUCGUUUUGGUGACACCUUUUCCUCUGGUCUAUCGAUUCGACUUGCUCUUAGCAACGUAAAUGUACGAGCAAUGGGCGAAGAUAGCGUUGCUGCGAGUUCAACGAACUCGCUGGGUUGGGUGGCAGUUUGACAAGAAUGAACUUCUUCUUGUCAAGUUUUACGCCUAGGAAUCAUUGAAUCAAACGCAGUACUGGGCAAUCUAAAUUGCACGAUGAUUACGGCACGAUUGCAACUUCUACACGUCUUUUAUGCUCGACGACUAAUUUCUGUUGCCGUAUAAAUUAAUAGAGUUGCUGC